CCUACGGGAGGCAGCAGUGAGGAAUAUUGGUCAAUGGGCGCGAGCCUGAACCAGCCAAGUAGCGUGAAGGAUGACUGCCCUACGGGUUGUAAACUUCUUUUAUAAAGGAAUAAAGUGAGGCACGUGUGCCUUUUUGUAUGUACUUUAUGAAUAAGGAUCGGCUAACUCCGUGCCAGCAGCCGCGGUAAUACGGAAGAGCCGAGCGUUAUCCGGAUUUAGUGGGUUGAAAGGGAGCGUAGAUGGGUUGUUAAGUCAGUUGUAAAAGUUUGGGGCUCAACGGUAAAAUUGCAAUUUGUACUGUCGGUCUUUAGCAGAGUGCAGGUAGGCGAAACUCAUGAUGUAGACGUGAUAUACU
rnacentral:rRNA from 1 species